UCCCUCUCAAGAUUGCACCUGGAGAGUUUCCAGUACUCUACCAGACUCGACUAUGGGAGGGAGAGACAAGCAGAAGUAUAACCUUUCCAUUCCUAGCUUGGGCAGUGGCUAGUGAAUGGAAGGCCAUCUGCAACAGGU